rnacentral:rRNA from 1 species
UACGUAGGGUGCAGGCGUUAAUCGGAAUUACUGGGCGUAAAGGGCGCGCAGGCGGUCUUGCAAGUCAGGCGUGAAAGCCCCGGGCUUAACCUGGGAAUUGCGCUUGAUACUCUGAGACUGGAGUACGGGAGAGGAGAGUGGAAUUCCCAGUGUAGAGGUGAAAUUCGUAGAUAUUGGGAAGAACACCAGUGGCGAAGGCGGCUCUCUGGACCGUAACUGACGCUGAGGCGCGAAAGCGUGGGGAGCAAACAGG